GUGCUCGCAUAGGCAGCACACAGACUAAAGCUGAAGCAAUACAGAGAAGGUUAGCAUGGCCCCUGCGCAAGGAUGACACACAUAUUCGUGAAGCAUUCCAUAUUUAA